UAUAUAUAUAAUUUAAAAGAAGAAAUCCAUUGAGAAAUUUAUCAUGGAUAAAAGAAAGUAUUUAUACUUUUAUCAAAAUAUGCUGCUAGUUUUAAUAAUUUAAAAAGAUGAUUAAAUCUUGCUGAAAUUGGAAGGAAAUUAAAUUGAAAUAAAUUAAAAUCUCAUGAUAUCAGUUCAAUUAAUUUUUCCUUUUAUUUCAGCAUGACAUAAUCAACUAUUUUAAGCAAUUGAAACCGGUAGCAUAUUUUGACAGAAAUGUAAAUACUUUCAUCCAUGAAAGCAUUUCCUCUUAUGCUUUUUAAUAUAAAUUUACUCUCAUGAAACCUCUUAAUCUUUUCAAUGUCAUUGUGUGCGUGUGUGUAUAUGUGUGUGUGUACACACAUUCACACAUAUGCACACACACAUACACAGAUAUAUAUAUAUAUAUAUAUAUAUGUGUGUGUAUUUAAUGUACGAAUAGUGUCAUUAAACCAGUUGGAAACAGAAAAAUAUCAGUAUAGAAGUCAACAAUAGAAAUAAGUGACCAAAACAUCUUCAAAAGAACAAUAAAAUAAUUAAAACCCUUUGGUCUUGGUUGUUGAUCUAAAAUUCGUAUACAUUGAUUACCGUUCUACUUCUCUAAACAAACUGACUGAAUUCGCACCAAACAGACUAUCCAUGGCAGUCACCCUCCCCCAAAUCACAUGACACUGUCUUCAAAAAAUCGACCAAGACAAAUAUAUCAAGUACAAUGUGGUCCAAAAUGCACAAUAUCUUAUAAAAAUAACUGGCUAUGGGACAUUUUGGCACAGCCGUUUUGGCGCUGCCUAUUCAGCAUUGCUGAUUAGAUGCUGACUUAUUUGACAGCAGAUGUUUUAAUGCUUCUCUUCUCCCCAUUUCUCUCUUCCUUUCUUAUCCUCUCUGUUUAUGUGUUGUUUAAUAAAUAAGUUGUAAUAUUGCUCUGUCUAUAUGUGCGUAUUUUUGCCUGUGCGCGUGUGUUUGCCUCUAGUGCAAAAAAGCACUGUUACCAAAACAGGUUUAAUGCCCAGUCAGCCGUGCCAGAUCGUCAGCAUCCAAACAGCUGCGUCCAGUUGUCUCAUUUAGAAAAUAACUAGAUGAUUAUGGCUUUAAGGCCUAUGACUGCAGGUUUACUCAACUGGAGCCAACCAAGGGCUAAACAAUAAUAGCAAUUUAUUCAUUUCAUAGUUGAGCAGCUAUUUUAGGGAGGUCUCUAACUGUCAUGAAAAGGGAAAUAAAAAGAUAUCAUAAAACUUACUGCCAUCGUCUGCAAGCUUUGAAUUUGUAGAAUAUUCCUGCGAAUGUAAUAUUUUUUUGCAGUCAUGACUGUGCGGUUAAGAAGUUCAUUUUGUAACCAUAGCUUCCGGUUCAUUUCCACUGUACAACAUCUUAUACUAGUGUCUUCUAUAGCACUGGGCUGACCAAUUUAUUAGCUGGAAACUGUGUGAAAGCCUCAGCAGCGUUUAUACUUUCGAUGCUGUGGACACCACCAGAUUGAAUGGUACUGUCCAGGUGUCGAAACCGUAGUGAUAUCCAUUUGGGCAGCUGAUGAUGGGAGUACACAUAUGCUCGACUGUGAAUUUCUUAUAGCUUGGAAUCGUUCUUCUUGAUUGUCCUUCAUUCUCGUAAAGGGGAAAGCAUUUGUGGGUUCAUAGUUUGUAGGGAUUGCUUACUUGGAUAUCGUUUGGUUUUCUUCAUUGAUCACCUAAUUAGUUUGGAUAAUGCUUAAAUAUUGGUGUCUAGUUAUGGUAUAUUCUUUAAUGUGUGUGUGUGUUUGUCCCCCUCUACUACUUGAAACCGGUGUUGGUUUGUGUCUGUUCCCAUAAUUUAGUGGUUU